AAACCAACAGGGAUUGCCCCAGUAACGGCGAGUGAAGCGGCAAGAGCUCAAAUUUGAAAGCUGGCUCCUUCGGGGUCCGCAUUGUAAUUUGCAGAGGAUGCUUCGGGAGCGGUCCCCAUCUAAGUGCCCUGGAACGGGACGUCAUAGAGGGUGAGAAUCCCGUAUGGGAUGGGGUGUCCGCGCCCGUGUGAAGCUCCUUCGACGAGUCGAGUUGUUUGGGAAUGCAGCUCUAAAUGGGUGGUAAAUUUCAUCUAAAGCUAAAUAUUGGCCGGAGACCGAUAGCGCACAAGUAGAGUGAUCGAAAGAUGAAAAGCACUUUGAAAAGAGAGUUAAAAAGCACGUGAAAUUGUUGAAAGGGAAGCGCUUGCGACCAGACUCGCUCGCGGGGUUCAGCCGGCAUUCGUGCCGGUGUAUUUCCCCGCGGGCGGGCCAGCGUCGGUUUGGCGGUCGGUCAAGGCCCUCGGAAGGUAACGCCCUAGGGCGUCUAUAGCCGAGGUGCGAUGCGACCUGCCUAGACCGAGACCG
rnacentral:rRNA from 1 species